rnacentral:rRNA from 1 species
UACGUAGGGUGCAAGCGUUAAUCGGAAUUACUGGGAGUAAAGCGUGCGCAGGCGGUUUUGUAAGUCUGUCGUGAAAGCCCCGGGCUCAACCUGGGAAUUGCGAUGGAGACUGCAAGGCUUGAAUCUGGCAGAGGGGGGUAGAAUUCCACGUGUAGCAGUGAAAUGCGUAGAGAUGUGGAGGAACACCGAUGGCGAAGGCAGCCCCCUGGGUCAAGAUUGACGCUCAUGCACGAAAGCGUGGGGAGCAAACAGG